CUCGUCCUCCUCGGCAUCCUCCGGAAAGAGCUCCAAGCCCGGGUCAUAGGGCUCCACCGCCCCGGCGAGAGUGUCCAGCUCCGGGUCUGAGAGGAAGCCGCGCAGGCCGUGGGUCCCCAGUUUCCAAAUGAAGAAAGUAACCGGCCACACUGAAAGCAACAGACCGACUUAGUGAGUGAGUGACACCCGCUGCUGGCGGCACCGCCCGACAGCUCACCGGAUCUCUUCGUGGGAACGGCAGCAAAGUAGAUGAGCAAAUCCUGACUCAUCUUCAGCGGAGAAAACCUCGCCCUUCCUCCACAG